rnacentral:rRNA from 1 species
UACGUAGGGGGCAAGCGUUGUCCGGAUUUACUGGGCGUAAAGAGCGCGCAGGCGGUCGUUCAAGUCGCGUGUGAAAGCCCCCGGCUCAACUGGGGAGGGUCACGCGAUACUGAUCGACUCGAAGGCAGGAGAGGGAAGUGGAGUUCCCGGUGUAGUGGUGAAAUGCGUAGAUAUCGGGAGGAACACCAGUGGCGAAGGCGACUUCCUGGCCUGUUCUUGACGCUGAGGCGCGAAAGCUAGGGGAGCAAACGGG